rnacentral:lncRNA from 1 species
AGGCCCGGAAGGGGCGGGGCCAGGCCUGGAGCGUCGGAGCGCCAAGCCGGGCCGUGGCGCUUUCUUUUCCGCUUGGCCGCGGGAGAAGGAAGGGCUUUGAGGCUCCGUCUGCCUUACGGGAGUGGCGGCAACGCCCGCGGACACGUCUCCCGGCUCUUCGAGGGGGGAAGUCCCCGCGGAGUUAGAUCAUUUUCUAUUUCUUCCGGGAACCCGACUCCGUGCCAGAGUCUAUAAGUCGGCCUCGGGCCACUCCGCCUUGUGCGUUCCGCCCCGGGGCCCCCCAUCCCGAUGGCCUCCGUCCAUUGCCCGGCACAGCCCAGCGGUCGGCGCGGCCUAGGCCUCCAAGUCAUCCCAGGAGGCCACCUUCCCCUCCCCCACCCGGUUGACGCCGCCUCGAGCUCUCCUCCGUGCUUCUGCUCAAUCGCAUUUUGUGUAGCAGUGCCUAUGAGUUGAAGAUCAUUGUGAUAAAUGUUUUCCAAAAACCUGUCACAGAAGAUGGCUGUGAAAACACAAGGAGGACCGCUGCACAUGUAACAAGAUAAGUACCUGCAAAUGAAUGUUCAAGUGCUUAGCAGUGGUGCUUAAAAACUCUUCAUUACCUCAAAGGUGUGGCAAACGACGUUUUCGAAGGAAAAAUGAAGAGUUGUUCAAGAAGACGUGCAUGAAAGCAAGUGACAAAAAUUAAAAUUGUAUUUAAUGUUCAUCUCACAAUAAAUUAUGGAGAAAAGUACAUCUUCCAAUAAUUUUAAUUGCUGGGCAAUAAAGUCUGUUCUCUUU